UCCCGCUUAUCACGGGCAGUUCCCCUAGAGUGCCCAGCUUGACCUGCUGGCAACUAAGGGUGUGGGUUGCGCUCGUUGCCGGACUUAACCGAACAUCUCACGACACGAGCUGACGACAGCCAUGCAGCACCUGUCCACCGGCCUCUUGCGAGGAAGACCUGUCUCCAGGCCGGUCCGGCGAUGUCAAGGGUUGGUAAGGUUCUGCGCGUUGCCUCGAAUUAAACCACAUGCUCCACCGCUUGUGCGGGCCCCCGUCAAUUCCUUUGAGUUUCACCCUUGCGGGCGUACUCCCCAGGUGGAUUACUUAACGCUUUCGCUAAGACGCUGACAGUUUAUCGCCAACAUCGAGUAAUCAUCGUUUACAGCGUGGACUAC
rnacentral:misc_RNA from 1 species